GGGGGAUUAGCGCAGAUGGUAGAGUGCUCGCUUAGCAUGCGAGAGGUAGUGGGAUCGAUGCCCACAUCCUCCA
rnacentral:tRNA from 1 species